rnacentral:rRNA from 1 species
AACGAACGCUGGCGGCAUGCCUAACACUUGCAAGUCGAACGAGACCUUCGGGUCUAGUGGCGCACGGGUGCGUAACGCGUGGGAACCUGCCCUUAGGUUCGGAAUAACUCCCCGAAGGGGGUGCUAAUACCGGAUAAUGUCUUCGGACCAAAGAUUUAUCGCCUUUGGAUGGGCCCGCGUUGGAUUAGCUAGUUGGUAGGGUAAAAGCCUACCAAGGCGACGAUCCAUAGCUGGUCUGAGAGGAUGAUCAGCCACACUGGGACUGAGACACGGCCCAGACUCCUACGGGAGGCAGCAGUGGGGAAUAUUGGACAAUGGGCGAAAGCCUGAUCCAGCAAUGCCGCGUGAGUGAUGAAGGCCUUAGGGUUGUAAAGCUCUUUUACCCGGGAUGAUAAUGACAGUACCGGGAGAAUAAGCUCCGGCUAACUCCGUG